AUGACCGAUGCCGGGCUAGAGCAACGGGUCCAUGGCGAGCGCGCUGGUUCAGGAAGCGCCUCGCCGAGCGAUGGGGCACGGGGUCGGCUCGAUCCGUUCCGUUACACAGCACGGCAGGAUGGUCUGUGGCGGCAACACAUGCAUGCGCCCUUUGAAGUUCUAUUGCCAAUCCGAAGUUUGAUUGAGAGUUUAAUCAGCCAUUACUACCAGUCAAUGCGCGGACUGCUGGUUUCAGUUACAAUUGGUCCUGUACAAGACGAAUUCGAGCACAUACUGUUGGGUUUCUUACCUUUCUCCAGAUGUAUUUGUCAGUAUCCAAUGGCUAACAGACAGGUUUUAAUAUCGACCUUCCAGCCGAGAUGUGAUUAUAUUAUCGGAGGGUGUCGAAUUCAGUGGCCAUAUUCUUAUUGCUUCCUUCAGAUCUUGUAUUUUCCAAGAACCUGCCUGUGGAGAAAGGCUCCGAGCACGGUUAAGCCAAAAUGGCAAUAUCCAGGUGCAGGUUGGGUUAAGAUGAAUACUGAUGGAGCCACUGAUUCAGUGAACGGUCGUGGAGGCGCGGGGAUCAUUAUCCGGGAUGAUCAAGGGGCGUUCUUACGAGCGAAGUGUGCUCAGGAUUUAAGCUUCAGUACUCAGGUCAUCGGACUAACUUGGCGGCCCACCGACUAG
rnacentral:rRNA from 1 species